UGUACAACUAUGUGACAGGCUGCGGGUGUGACGCUGUUAUCUCGUGUGUCACGGCUGCUUUUCUGUGGAGUAAUAGAUAACAUCUGUUAGCUCUGAAGAUGCUUCUCUAAGGAACAAAUGGCAUUGGUUCCUCAGGUUUUUGUUGACCAUAUUCUAUUCGGACAUUGUGGAUUCUUGAAAGGACUUUGUUCUUAAUCAAAAAAACAAACUGAAGAAGAAAUGGCUGUUGGACUUUGUAAAGUCAUGUCCCAGGUAAGUUAAUAGUUUCAGAAAUUUCAUCUCCUUUUUCAGAACUUUGGG
rnacentral:lncRNA from 1 species